rnacentral:rRNA from 1 species
AUGCGCCGAUGGAGCGGACGAAGUCUGAUUAGCUUGUUGGUGGGGUAAUGGCCUACCAAGGCGAUGAUCAGUAGCGGGCCCGAGAGGGUGGCCCGCCACACUGGGACUGAGACACUGCCCAGACUCCUACGGGAGGCUGCAGUCGCGAAUCAUUCACAAUGGACGGAAGUCUGAUGAUGCCACGCCGCGUGCGGGAAGAAGGCCUUCGGGUUGUAAACCGCUGUCGAGAGGGGGGAAGUGUUGACUGCCCUCUGGAGGAAGCCCCGGCUAAACACGUGCCAGCAGCCGCGGUAAUACGUGUGGGGCAAGCGUUGUUCGGAAUCACUGGGCUUAAAGGGUGCGUAGGCGGCCUGCCAAGUCAGGGGUGAAAUCCCGCGGCCCAACCGUGGAAUUGCCUUUGAUACUGGUUGGCUUGAGUGUGCCAGGGGUGAGCGGAACGUGUGGUGUAGCGGUGAAAUGCGUAGAUGUCACACGGAAGGCCGGAGCCGAAGGGGGCUCACUGGGGCACAACUGACGCUGAGGCACGAAAGCGUGGGGAGCAAACAGGAUUAGAUACCCUGGUAGUCCACGCCGUAGACGAUGAGCACUAGGCGGUUGUCUUGUUAGAGAUGGGCGUUGGAGAGAAAUUGUUAAGUGCUCCGCCUUGGGAGUAUGGUCGCAAGGCUUAAACUCCAAGGAAUUGACGGGGGCUCAACAAAAGCGGUGGACGAUGUGGUUUAAUUCGAAGACAACGCGAAGUACCUUACCAGGUCUGUACAUGCUGGUAUCAACCGUGUGAAAGCACGGGGCUUGCCCAUCCGGGUGUAACCAGCACAGGUGCUGCAUGGCUGUCGUCAGCUCGUG